rnacentral:rRNA from 1 species
AGAGACAGCAGUAGCCGCGGUAAUACGUAGGGUGCGAACGUUAAUCGGAAUUACUGGGCGUAAAGCGUACGCAGGCGGUUGUGUAAGACAGGUGUGGAAUCCCCGGGCUUAACCUGGGAACUGCGCUUGUGACUGCACAGCUAGAGUAUGGCAGAGGGGGGUGGAAUUCCACGUGUAGCGGUGAAAUGCGUGGAGAUGUGGAGGAACACCGAUGGCGAAGGCAGCCCCCUGGGCCAAUACUGACGCUCAUGCACGAAAGCGUGGGGAGCAAACAGGAUUAGAUACCCCCGUAGUCCCUGUCUCUUAUAC